CUGGCUCAGAACGAACGCUGGCGGCGCGUCUUAAGCAUGCAAGUCGAACGGCAAGGGGGGCUUGCUCCCCCUAGAGUGGCGGACUGGUGAGUAACGCGUAGGUAACCUGCCCUUCGGACGGGGAUAGCCGCUAGAAAUAGCGGGUAAUACCGGAUACGGUUGUUUUGCGGUGGCAAGACAAAGAAAGGAGCCAAGGCUUCGCCGGGGGAUGGGCUUGCGUCCGAUUAGGUAGUUGGUAGGGUAAAGGCUUACCAAGCCGAUGAUAGGUAGCCGGCCUGAGAGGGUGGACGGCCACAUUGGGACUGAGAUACGGCCCAAACUCCUACGGGAGGCAGCAGCUAAGAAUAUUCCGCAAUGGGGGAAACCCUGACGGAGCGACGCCGCGUGGACGAAGAAUGCCGAAAGGUUGUAAAGUUCUUUUCCAGUCGAGGAAUAAAGCGGGGAGGGAAUGCCCUGAAGAUGACGGUAGGCUGGGAAUAAGCCCCGGCUAAUUACGUGCCAGCAGCCGCGGUAACACGUAAGGGGCGAGCGUUGUUCGGAAUUAUUGGGCGUAAAGGGCGCGUAGGCGGCGAGGAAAGUUUGGUGUGAAAUGCGGGGGCUUAACCUCCGCACCGCGCCGGAAACUGCCUUGCUCGAGUCUGUGAGGUGGAGUUGGAAUUCCUAGUGUAGGGGUGAAAUCUGUAGAUAUUAGGAAGAACACCAGUGGCGAAAGCGGACUUCAAGCGCAAGACUGACGCUGAGGCGCGAAAGCGCGGGGAGCAAACAGGAUUAGAUACCCUGGUAGUCCGCGCUAUAAACGAUGCGCACUAGGUGUCGGACCGAGCGGUUCGGCGCCGAAGUAAACACGAUAAGUGCGCCGCCUGGGGAGUAUGCCCGCAAGGGUGAAACUCAAAG
rnacentral:rRNA from 1 species